GGGCUGCAGUGAGGAAUUUUCCGCAAUGGGCGAAAGCCUGACGGAGCGACGCCGUGUGUGGGAUGAAGUCUUUCGGGAUGUAAACCACUGUCAGAGGGAAAGAUAUUGACGGUACCCUCAGAGGAAGGCCCGGCUAACUACGUGCCAGCAGCCGCGGUAAUACGUAGGGGCCAAGCGUUAUCCGGAAUUAUUGGGCGUAAAGGGCGCGUAGGCGGUUUUGUCAGUCAGCUGUUAAAUCCCCGGGCUUAACCCGGUUCCGCAGCUGAUACUGCAAGACUAGAGAAUGGUAGAGGAAAGCGGAACUUCCGGUGUAGCGGUGAAAUGCGUAGAUAUCGGAAGGAACACCAGUGGCGAAGGCGGCUUUCUGGGCCAUUUCUGACGUUGAGGCGCGAAAGCUAGGGGAGCAAACGGGAUUAGAUACCCGAGUAGUC
rnacentral:rRNA from 1 species